rnacentral:lncRNA from 1 species
GUUUAAAACCGAAUCAAACCGACCUAUUUAGGUUGAGACAAAAUGUAACCGAAUGGUUUAAGUUUAAAUUUGAGUUUGGUUUGACUCGGUUUGAAUUUGGUUGGGUUGGGUCGGUUCGGUUAAAAUCUCACCCCUACCAAAUAAUUUGCAAGUUUAAUUAAUCCAUGUCGGUGACAGCUCUAUGAAUCUAGAUGCCAAUAAGACAUGUUAAUUGUUAAGUCUAUAUCAACGUUAAUGCCAAAUAAAAAUUCUGGUCCCAUUCGAAUCAGAGGGGUAGUUUAGUCUUUUCACUUUAAAUCAGAAAUUACAAAAAUUACGAAAACGCCACGCACCUUUUAGUGAUCUUUCCAUGGUCUAGUGAAGAAGAUACUCUUUAACCGAUUACCGGCGGCGAGUCUCUGAACCGCUUUCUUAGCACCGGGAACUUCCAUUUCCUCCAGAGAUUGAAGAUAACGAUCAGCUCCUAAACCAAUCAACUUCGUCCUCGCCGCAUAACUUCCACCUGAUAAAAUCGCCGUCACAACCAUCACCGGAAGCUCUUUAUUAUUCAUCCUCUCAUUCCUCGGAUCCAACAUUUGCACCAAUCGAAUCACACUCUUCUCAUCUCUCAUCAACUCCUUCCGAUUUGAUCUAACGGUCAACAACGACUUCGCCGCCUCCGUCGCCGCUUCUUGUAACCCCGCCGGUUUCGGCGAUUCCAUUAACCGAAUCAACGAGCUUAAACAAUCAGCGACGGCUCGUUUGUUACCGUCGCUGAUUGUUAAAUUCGAUAAAAGAGAAGUUGAGAUCUGUUGAAGGAUUACGUUUCCGUGUUUUAUCAAUUCACCUAAUCGGAUUAUGAACCUUGUUGAUGAAGAUAAAACCCUAGAAACUGUUUCCAUGGCAGAGAUCUGAGAGAGAGCAAGCAAACAGUGUUCGAUCGUAUCGGGAUUUGAUGAUUCUUGAACUAAAUGAAUCAGAAUCUGUAAUCCUCCUCUUUCUCUAACAAUCAAAUCUCUGUAAUACUCACCGGAAGAUGAGAUCAAGGAGAUGAAAUUCGCGGUUUUCUCUUGUACCGAUGAUGAACCGGAGAUUAAGAGUUGGAUAAGAACCGGUAUAGCUCCUUCUUCAGCUAAUGUUGUUCUGAUUUCUUCAACGGCGGCGAUGUUGCUUAUAGCACCAGCGAUGUGUUCUUGUACUUGUUUAGAUCCUGAUCUACAAGCUUCGAUUAAUACGGUUACGCCUCCGUAAGCUGAGAUAGCCCAAGCGGUUGCUGGAUCGGCGGUUAUAGCUUCAAUCGCUAUUGCUGCUCUUGUUUUGAACGGUGAAGAUCCGGUUUCUAGCAAUCGUAGUAAUGGACCUAAUCCGCCUUGUUCGAACACCGUCUUUCUCGAGUCGGCGCUCGAUGAAGUUAACAGCGAGACGGCGGCGAGUGCGUGCUCACGGAUUAGAGGAUGGUGAUGGAGAUCAAGAAGAGUUACUAAGUAACCAACAUUACCUUCUUUAGCUAUGAUUCUUGCGGAUUUUUCGUUAUCGGUGAGAAGUUGAAGAAGAGAUUCUAGAGAUUUCUUUUUGAACUCAGCUCCACCGAUUUGGAGACGAGUGAAGAGGUCUCUGAUGAAGAAGGCAAUGUCAUCUUUAUCUGAUGUUGGUGGUGGGAGUGAUAAAACGAUGGCGUUUUGUUGGUGGAGGACACCGGAUCUGAGGAGGAGGUCAAGGUCACUUAUGUGAGUAGAGAGGGAAGAGGAAGCUAUGUCGAGGUCGCUUUGCAUGAGAAGUUUACCACCGGAGAAUGAAGCGGAGGAGCAUUGGUCGGAGAGUGAAGAGAGGCGUUGGAGAUUUGAGAGGAGAGAAGGGAGGAGAGUGUGGAGGAGAGGAUUUUGUGACCAGUGAGGUGAUUCGGAUAAGGAAGAGAGAGAUGAGUUUAGUGUGAAGAGUUUGGAUCGGAGGAUUUGCCACCGUCCGAUGAAGGAACGGACGGUGAGGGAAGAGAGGAGGAGGAGGGAGAGGACGUUUGUUAUUAGGUCAACAAGUGGUUGGAGUGGAGCUGUUGGUGGUUUUGUGAGUUCGCCGGAGACGGCGGCGGAGGAGGGAUGCAUGGAGGAGUGGUCACAUAAGAGAAGGGUUUUGCCUUAGAGAGAAAGGUAAAGAAGUGUUGUUGUUAGUUGUUGCCGGGAAAAAGAGAGAGGCGUGAGGACAAGGUCUCUUUUGUCUAUUUUUACUUUUAGGUGAUGUGUACUUUGAUGACAAAUCUAUUUCUCUUGAUGCCAUAGUUUGUGUCAGUCUUAUGCUUAUGGUUCCGGACUCUUUUCUUUUACAGCGGUGAACGAGUCAAACAAGCUUGAUACACGGGACACACACGAAUAUAACAAGGAACUUAAUAGAAUGUAUAGUAGUUAUUACAUGGGAAUGUGACACUAUUAGACACUUUUGGAAAAUGUUUUGAUUUUUUAGGCACUUCCAAGAGUUUAGGCACUUUACUUUAUUUUUGGUGAGAAAAUGGACAAAAUUACCCCUGCGAUAUUGACG